UUUUUCUUUUUUUUUUUCUUCUUUUUUUAACGAAACGAAACGAAACGAGCGAAUCGAUUUUCUUCAUUCUCUUUUUCGUUCAACUAUUAUCGGGCUUAUCGUUCGCCCUUUACGGCUCCCUUUUCUUGCACUUUUUAUUACCCGAACUAACAUACCGAUAACUUUACGAGCGCUGAGGUCUCACGACUUUUUACGGGCCCGUUGAAACUUUAUAAAUCGUUAUCGCGCGACGAAAGUAUGAACGAUCAGAGGCACAGAGAGAGUACAGCGAGAGGAGCUCGAAGGAGGAGUUUUCCACCUCCUCCUUCUCCUCCUCUUUCACGAAUCGAUAUGCUGGCCUGGUCGUUUCGUGCAUCGAACGACCGCAUUGCGAUUCGUAGGCAGAGCGGAAAGUACUUAGUACUCGAGAUAGCCCUUCGCAACUAUCUCGACCUAUAUUCUUUUCCAAUUUUUUUUCUCUCUCUCUCUCUCUAUCUCCAUAUCUCUAUAUCUCUAUCUCUAUCUCUAUCUCACAAAGAGAGUACAUCUUUUCAAAUUAUUACAAACACUUUUAACAUACGUACGUAUAUAUGUACGUUCUGAAAAUUUCUUUUGAAUUCAACAAUUUGUUCUGAAUAGCUUAUUCAAAGUACUAAAACGGCACUGUAAUUUUCUUUAACGCGUUUGUCCUCUUUGACCUAUGCCGGAAUAAUCGAGAUCAUCUCGUUGAUCAAAUUCGCGUUGCAUGCUGUAUCGCAUUCAUUAAACGUGCCGGGAGCGUGCGCGUUACUACAUAUCGAGCUAUCUCUCACUCUCACUCUCUCUCUCUCUCUCUCUCGACGGCCUCGAAACGAGCUGAAUUUAGUCGCUAAAUUACAAGUGACAACGACACGCGCCACUUUAUAACGUUUUCUCUUCGUAGUUUACCGUAGUACAUGCAUACGUAUUAAUCGUUCGCGAAUGAAUUUUCCACGGACGUUCUUUAUCGGGAAAAAAAGGAAAAAGAAUAAUUGUUAAUAUUUUUUUCUUCUUUACACAUACAUACAUACAUACAUACAUACAUACAUACAUAUAUAUAUAUAUAUAUAUAUAUACAUGUAUAUACAUAUAUAAACACACACGCGCACCUAUAUUAACGAUCGACUUUAAUUACUAGAUUCCCGUGCCCGUCGGUGCAAGGGUCAGAAAAUUGGUUCGAUCGAAUCUAUAUAUAGGAAGAAAUGUUUAACCGACAUUGGGAGCUCUCUAUGCCGUACUAGAUUUUACUUUGCCUUCAUUUCCGGGUAUAUCAAAACGUUCGUUGGUUCGUACGAUAGGACGAAACGGUAAUAUUCGUACGAGUUAGGAGGGUGAGGGAACGAGAUAGAUAGAUAGAUAGAGAUACAAACAGAGAGAUAGAAACAGAUAGAGAGAGAACGUUAGAUAGAGAAAGAGAAGACAGAGAGAAACAGAGAAAGAGAAAGAAGAAAGUUUUAUCCGAGGAAUAGCAUACGUCAAAGGAAUUACACGAAGGGUCAGCCGUAGUAGAACAUAACCGCCCAGUCGAAUCGUUUUAGUAUGCACGGUCACGCGCAACGAUUUAGCGCGGCCACCCUACUAGAUAAGGCACAUCGUUGGAGGUAGUAGUAGAAAGAGAAAGAAUGAGAGAGAGAGAGAAAGAGGAAGAAAGAGAGAGAAGUGGGCGUCGUAGAAGAACGGCCUGGAAAAAGGGGUUGUAAAGGCAGCGACCGCCGUUGGUCGUUACGUAGGCGGUGCAUCCUAAAGAGAAAGAAAGAGAGAGGGUGAGAGAUGAAUAGAUAGAUAGAUAGAGAAAGAGAAUGAGAGAAAUAGGAACGUGCACGAAAGUCCUUGACUCUUCAAACCUACCCCUUCCCCCUUCGGCCUUAAACGAACCUUAAACGAAAUUGAAUCACUUAACGAGAACAAAGAGCACCUGCAGUUCGGCCUUUAACUCGUUGUUUACCCGCCAUCAUUGUUCUUUCGGUAAUCUCGCAAAUCUCGUUAACCCUCUCAAUUCUCUCUCUCUCUCUCUCUCUCUCUUUCUCUCUUUCUCUUUCUCUUUCUCUUUCUCUUUCUUGCUCCCUUCAUUUCAUCAAACCAUUCGUUCGCUUAGAUCCGUGAAAACUUCUUAACGCGAGAAUUCGCCGUUUUACUUGAAUUCAUCCCUCCUGAUAUUCAACGUACUUAAUAAUUAAUUAAUUUACACUUACUUAUCUAUUCAGUUUUUACCUGAAGAAUAUGUACUUACUCACUCACAUUGAAUUCGAUCGUGUUUGAAAAUAAAUGAGUAUUCGAUCGUUCCUAAGUUAAAGAUAAGAUGGACCAUCAUCGUUCGGUAUCGAGGGUGAAAGGCGAGGGUGAGAGAGAGUUGUAUAGGUACUUCGAUUUCGUUACAAAAUGCCGAACGAUCGGACUUUUAUUUACGGUGAGGCUAGUGAGAUGGAAAGAAGAACAAAACAAAAAAAUACGAAAGAUAAAAAAAAAGAAAGUUAGAUAUUGGACCAUUGCCAAACGUUAUUGGGAAGUAAAGGGUGGUGGAAAUGAUGGGGGUAGGAGUAGGGGGUGGAAAAGAGGGGAAUGAACGACGAUGGAGAAGAGAUCUUCUUUCUUCGCGUUAUCGACGUCAAAUGAAUACGUGUUUAUCGACGUAAUAUUCCCUCUUGGCCACAAAAAGAAAAGAAAAGGAAAGAAAAGGAAAAGAAAUGGUCGCUCGUUUGCGAAACGCUGCAAAGAUAGGUGUCGCGCGACCGAUAUCGAAGAGAAAAAGAAAGGUUUUUUAUUGACGAGAGAACGAGACGAGGGAUGGGAAAAAACAUUUUUAUUAGAAGACAGAGGACAGACAGCGAGCCAAUAGAAAAGAAAGAGAUCGAGCGAGUAGUCACUUUUCUCGUCCUUCCAAAGAUUCUCCUUCUCGCUCAUUAAGUUCGAACGUUUCUCGCGUGCGACCGACGAACAACACGGAAAAGGCAGCAACGCCCGUCAGGAGAGAUAAGACCUUCUCUUCAACUCCCCCACCCACCCUCUCCCUUCUCCCUCUCUUUGCCUUCGCCUUCGCCUUCCCUCGACGAAGGCGAAGGUCGUUAUCGUUGAGAUGCUCGAGGCUUUCUCUCUCUCUCUUUCUCUCUCUCUCUCUCUGUCUAUCUCUAUGUCUAUCUUUCCCUUUCUCUCUCUCUCUCUCUCUGUCUGUCUCUCUUUCUUCGCUCUCCUAACGUUCCCCGUUGCACAGCUUACAUCACGAAGUUCGCUGCCCCCGACAGACGUAACCGUUUGUUUAUACGGCAGAACGUAAGUACACGUAACUUCGCCAUUUAGCUGCCACUCCUAUCGAUUUUUCCCUCUUUGCAUUUUCCUACCCAAUUUUCUCUUACCGCUUAUGUACAUAUAUGGAUGCAUAUGUAUGUACAUACGUACGUACGUACGUACGUACCGAGAUUCUCAGCUACAAAUCGGUCGAUGUUUAAAGAAAAAUAAAAUCGUCGUGUGUGUGUGUGUAUACAUGUGUAUGUAUGUAUAUACUUUGAGCUUAUUCCAUUUUCUCUUACAUAUAGUUAUGCAAAUUUUAACAUAGCACUUCUUGAACUUUGAUAUUUCAAAGAUAUUUAACGAGGUCGACUAUAUUACAUAGAGAAAUGCGAUUACCGGAUGAUCGAACAUUUUAUAUUUUACUAUUUUUUUCUUUCUCUUUCUCUUUUUUCUUUCUUUCUUUCUUUUUCUAGUAUGUUCUAGUUGUGAUCAUGAAGAAAAGUUAAUAGCCGGUACAAAUAUCCCGAAGCGUAUACCAUAUACACGCGUAUAUCUAUAUAUACAUACAUACAUAUAUAUAUAUAAAUAGUCUCGAUAUAUGUAUAUAGAUAUAGCCUCGACAUGUAUGUGUGUGUGUGUGUGUAGAUAUAGAUAUAGAUAUAGUCUCGGGAACAGAACUCGCGUGUUCUCUCUCCGGAGUUGACCUUUUCUCGCGUGACAGCAAGCCGCAUUCCACUUUCACGGGCGCUCUUGGAAAAUCGUUUUUAAAGAAAUUUACGAAAGAACGUAAGUACUUCUCGGAAAAUUCAACGCGUGUCUAACUACAUACAUACAUACAUACAUACAUACAGACUUAAGUUUUCGCGGAGGGUUUCGUAGAAACUUUCAAGGCCGACCGACCCUCCGCUCCUCCACCUCCUUUUACUUCCCAUUCAAUUGAAUCUUGUUGGCUUCCUUUCUUUCUUUUUCCAACAUUUCGAAAUAAUUAUAUACAUAUAUAUAUAUAUAUAUAUAUAUAUAUAUAUAUAUAUAUAUACAUACACACAAAAGACCGACAUCUUUAUUUUCAAUAAUUCGUAGUUAACGAUGUGUAAAAAAUUGUCGAAAUACGUGUCAGUUUGAACAUCGGACGAGGAAACACCGAACGUGCAUAGAAACACACACAUACACACGUGUACCACACACACGGUUAUAAAAGAAAGGAUCCAAAAAAGAACGGUGAGAAAAAGAGAGAGAAAGAAGAGAGAGGGGUGGAAGGGAGAAAGAGGAGCGAGCCAUGCUCCGCGUUGUAAGCUCACCAGAAGAGAAACGAAAGAGAUGGGAGGGGUUCGUAGGGAUGAGGAGGGAGAGGAGGAGUCAUGGGAGGCAAAUGAAACGUUGACGAGGAUUUCGCGAGUCGUGCUGAGUCGGAAAUUAUACGUCCGCCUCGACGGACACAACGUGUUUCCAACGUUUUUACGAAGCCACGCGCGUACAAUGUUCCCUCUGUCCUCCUUCCUCUCCUCUCUCCAACCAUCCCCUUUUUCUCUCCAUCAUUUUCUCUCUUUCAUUCUCUAUAUCUACUAUCCUUCUCUUGCUUUUAUCCGGGCGAUGGAAACGUCGAGUUAAACGGAAAAUCGCUAAACCGUAUCGCGGCUGACUGGCCAACAACGUACAGUGGCUCUCCAAACUAUUCUCAUCUCGGUUAACAAAACUCUUCCCCCUCCCUUUUCUCUCUCUCUCUCUCUGUUUAUCUGUCUGUCUCUUUCUCUUUCUCGUGAUAUCUCGUCCUGUCUGCCGCCGACGGCUGAAACAACGGACGGAACGUUAAAUAGAGCCGACUUCGUUAUAUUUUCCGCAUGCAAUUAGGAAGGAUUAAAGACUCGAUACGCGAGAAUAAAUUCAUUUAGCGUGGCUAACCAACAGCCAACGGUUGUUGAUGUUUUUCAAACGAUAUCUUUAUUUGCACGAUUGUAUGCUCAAAUGUUUUUCUAUGUUUUGUUUCGUUUUCUCUCUUUUCUUUCCUUUUUUUUUUUUCUUAUUUUUAAAUCACUCCUCUCGUACGACAAGACCCGGUGUGUCCUGUUAAACCCGUAGUCUCCGUGAAACGAAUUUUCUUUUACGAAUCUAUUAUAAUGGAGACGACGUUCUCUAUGUUCGGACCGUCUACAGGAUGGAAAAAAAGUUUGUAGUCUAGAUCAGUACGUCGUUGUCGUUUAUCCUUCGCGGUUGUCCUACUUUUUCUCUCAUUUUUUUUUCUCUCGUUUUUUCUCUCUCCCUCUCAUUUUUUUUCUUUUUUUUUUUUUUAUGUCACGGACCGAAUCGUGAAAAUUUGUUCGAGAUUCAUCCGCGGUUCUUUGUUUGUCUCUCUGUGUGUUAGCUGCCACACUGUAUAAACACAGCGGGGGAUAGUGCGAUGAGUAGAGCACGGGUUAUUACUGUGAUUGGACGGGCGCUUGUAAUUAACUCUUCGGCAUCCUGCUAUCGCGAUGAUUCGUGUGCAUACAUAUGCUACUAUAAACCCUUCUCGGAUGGAUGUUAUUUCACACCGGUAUUUAUAAAAAAACUCACACCACCUUUACGGUUUAUCUCAUUCAUUUGUAAAUUGAUACUACGCCGGCAAUGCGUGUCAGAGAAUCCAUUAAAAAUCGAUCCCCUUUGUGUAGUCGAUUAUUUUUUAUCGCGAGAACGAUUCAUUUUGCGCGUUGUUUAAAUAGAAAAAAAAUAAGAAAAGAACAAAAAAUUAAAGAUAUACUUACACACACAUAUAUAUAUUUAUAUAUAUUUUUGUACAUAUAUUUAUAUAUUUAUAUAUAGUUUGUAAACAUUAAUUUGCGGAAAUGAAAAAUCAUUCUCUCUCUCUCUUCUUUUUUCCUUUUUCUCUCUCUUUAUGCUUAUACCGGUGAAUGGGCAACUAUUUUGCAUAGAUCUCGAGGGCCCAACAAAAGGUUCGCUAUAAUGUCGCUAAAGCUCGGAUCUCCGAGAAAGCUUCGGCUUAAUCUUCAUUAGAAUUUCUGAUUUGCAAUCCGAAAGAGUCGGAAAUGUUGCAGGUUGCACGGGCUAUGAGUACCACCGUUCCAACCUGCUCUCCUCUUUCUCUCUGUUCCUGGAGAAAGGUAGACCACCUGCUGUUAAAUAUUUCAUAUUUCAUUUCGAGAAUCUCGCUUAAUGGCCGUCACCUUUUGCCCUUCGCUUUGACCGAAACAACGAAAAAGAUAUAAAAAGUAGAAAAAAAGCAUAGAAAUACAAAAAAAAAAAGAAAGAUUAUAGACCAUAAAUAUCUAAAAAAAAAUUCGUUCUUUUUUUGUGCUUUAUUCGACGUAGAAAGCUUUUUUUUUUUUUCAAGAUAUCUCAGAUGUCCCCUUGUUCCAUCGUAUUUCUGGCUGGGAUUCGAGAGAAUCCGACGAUGCAUCUGGAAUAUUUUUCUUCUCGCAUAAAUAGAGAAUAGGUUGGUCUCCCCUCUCUCUCUCUCUUUCUCUCUCUCUCUCUCUCUCUCUCUUUCUCUUUCCCCCUACUAUAAAGAUCUGUUACUUUGAAAAACUUACGAGAAGGUAAAGAACGAAAAGCGACGAAUUAUGAAUAAAGCUUUGCUCGCUCAGCUUUAUUCGAAAAUGCGAGACAUCGUUCGCGACACUUACUCAAACAUACGUACUUACUUUACUAGCUGCGUGCGUAUUGUGUACUUACAAAAAGAGAUAAUGUAUAUAUAUGUACAUACGUACGUACACACACAUCAUAUAUAUAUAUAUAUAUAUGUAGAUAUAUACCAUACUUAUAAGGUACACGUACAUAUGUAGACACGUGUAAGUACGUAUUAUGUACGUGUGUUGUAUAGGUAGUAGCAGGAGCAGCGUACCAGGAGCAUUGUUCGAGAGUCCUAUUAAUAUUGCAUUCCAUCGGAAGUCCGUAUACAGGGUAGAACGCGCUCCACAUAUAAAGUUCGUAUCAAUAUUGAUUCGCCGGCCGGCGUGAAUGGGAGCUCUCGUGCAAACAGACAGGUCUUCCGCUUAUAGAGAUUUCAAAAGACGCCGUUCCCGUCGUCGAUGCCGUACACCGGCUCGUCUGCAUCAUCUCCGAAGGCAGAGGAGAAACGAAAAAAUUCUUCCUUUCAUCCUUCCCUUCUCAUAGACCCUUUGAUAGUUGCUUAGAUUAGUACGUAUACGUGAUUUAUUAUAUUUACAUAUAUACCCGUCUCAAAGAUAAUUCGUAACUUUAGCUCGAAACGAUAAUUCGAAAUCCAAUUCGGUAGACAAAUACCAAAGCUCGGAGUACGACCUCAAGGACAAAUUUUCAUCCUUUGAUAUUUCAUCGAUCUUUCGUUUCUUACGUUUAUUUUCACUUAGAUCAAAUAUCGUUUGUAAUUAACUCUCUCUGGUAAUAACGAAUAUCAAAACAUAUACCGUGCGGAUAAAGCGAUCUACGCUUUCAUUUUAUAUUUUAUUCAUUUCUCACGAGAGAAACAACCAACGACGACAACGACGAAGACGACGACGACUACGUUCUUUUAUAGCAUGCGAUUCGAGAUUCGUGCUAUAUCACGGCGAACAUCAUUCUCGGGUGUUUGAGAUUCUCUUUCUCUUUUCUCUUCGAAAGGAAGUUUCGUUUCCGUGCUCGAAAGCGACAGCGGGUGUCCCGCUUUAAUAUCGACCAGGACGGAGGACGGAUCUACUGUCUCUAUUACUCCUUUUCGCAUCCUCCUUCGAGCUUUCAUACUGAAUCUUCCUAUUCGUCGUGUCUCGAAACGAGCAAAUAGUACUACAAGUGGCAACAGAGGCUAAAACGCAAACCUCAUUCUACGGAAAAGUAGACAAAUUAUUUCUCGAGAUCGUAAAAUCGUCAUCGUUAUCAAAAGUGGUAUUGGAGAGUUAAGAAAAAGUGUUGUACGACAGAGAAAAUAAAAAAUAUUUAGAGAUAAGUAUUACUUAUAUAUCAAAAAAUUAAUAAAAAUGUUCAACGAGAUCGUUCAGUCUCACUUUUUUUAAUCAUCUUUUUUAACUCUGUCUAAGUAAUUCGAUAAUAGCUCGAUCGCAUCGAUUCUUCGGUAUGUUCGUUGAAUUGAAACGUCAUCGAGUACACGGAUGACAUUAAUAAGUGGCUUUUCUACAAAUCGAUCGAUGCAACGUACUUAAGUAUGUACUUAAGUACACAAGUCAACUUAGGCGCUCGCGUUUUCAUUCUACCGUUGUUCUCAACGCUGUACUUUUCUCUUAUACUUUUCCUUUUCCCUCUUUUUUUCUUCUUUCACGCAAAAUAUCAAACGUUUUAAUAAGAAGCGGUCGUUUUUUUCGAAGAUGGAUAGUUAUCAAAUGUCAUUCUCGUCGACGUGUUGUAGUCGUAACGUCGAGUGCAUCUCUCUCUCCAGUUUCAAUCUCAUCCACAAGUUCUUUGUCCCUUCUCUCUCUCUUACACAUCUUUCGAGUCGUUUUCAUCGUCGACACCAAGAGAAUGAAAGAGAAGGACAGAGCACGAAAAGAGAGAGUGGGAGAGAGAGAGAGAGAGAGAGAGAGAGAGAGAGAGAGAGAGAGAGAGAGAGAGAGAGAGAGAGAGAAAGAGUGAACGUAGAGGGCAGAGUGCCAAAGACACUGCCGGGUAAAGGGGAGGAUAGAAGGGUGUCUCUAAUUGGUCCAAUCUAAGAGCUUGUCUCAAAGAGAAGUUUCCCGGUUUCCGUACUUGCUACCUUCCUGCAGCACACGUACGAGAUCUUCUAAAGGCUUAUGAGCGUCCACGUACUUUCAACCCCAAUCCCCGUCCACCCUCCUUGCAUAUACAUAUACACACGUAUACCAAGACACGGUGUUAUAUACUUAUAACGUAGAAGUACUAGGUAGAACUAGGUACGACCGGCGUCUACACUCUGAAGAAGGACAGAGACAGUCCCUGGAAGACGCACGAAAUACAAGUUGGAAACGCGACAUCAGCAACGAGAGGAUAGCCUCCAGACACGUACCAACGCAAUGUCGUCUGCUCACCCUCAUUUUCGCAGAUCCAACGACGACGUCACGAGCUUCAAAUCCCAACCCUUCCCUUUUCCUUCCAUUUUCAUCCUUUUCCAUCCCUUCUCUUUCUAUAUCUCUUCUCUCUCUCUCUCUCUCUCUCUCUCUCUCUCUCUCUCUCUCUCUGGUAUUUCUCUUUUCCUUUUUUUGUUUCUUUUUCUUUUUACUCUCCAAUUUUUACAAUUUCAAGUUUGACGGGUGAUCGUCGAAACACGAGGAUGUUGAAGAUAAUACUGAAGGCUAGCUUUCUUUUCUUCCUUCUUUCUUUCUUUUUUUGUUUCUUUUUUUGUUUUUUCUUUUUUUGCUUUUCUUCUUUUUUCUCUACUUCUAUCUUCGGUAUUACCAGAGAACGUAGGAGAAACAGGCAUAGAGACGAAUAGGAAACGUGUUUCCUACGAGAUGCGAGACUCUCGAAAAUGUCUUUCGCUCGUUCUAGUGGAGUACUUUGACUUCGGUGGAUUGAAAUGGGAAUAAAAGGCAAGAUUCUCUCUCUCUCUCUCUUUCUCUCUUUUCUCUCGUGUAGGAAAAGAAAGAAUAUUACAAUCCGCGGUACUUGUAACUCUCGUGCUCGUUCUAAUCGACGACGAUUCUUGGAUCGAGAGAGAGAGAGAGAGAGAGAGAGAGAGAGAGAGAGAGAGAGAGAGAGAGAGAGAGAGAGAGAGAGAGAGAGAGAGAGAGAGAGAGAAAUAAA